rnacentral:rRNA from 1 species
CACGUAGGCGGACCGGAAAGUUGGAGGUGAAAUCCCAGGGCUCAACCUUGGAACUGCCUUCAAAACUAUCGGUCUGGAGUUCGAGAGAGGUGAGUGGAAUUCCGAGUGUAGAGGUGAAAUUCGUAGAUAUUCGGAGGAACACCAGUGGCGAAGGCGGCUCACUGGCUCGAUACUGACGCUGAGGUGCGAAAGCGUGGGUAGCAAACA